rnacentral:rRNA from 1 species
AUUGAACGCUGGCGGCAGGCCUAACACAUGCAAGUCGAGCGAGCGGCGGACGGGUGAGUAAUGUCUGGGAAACUGCCUGAUGGAGGGGGAUAACUACUGGAAACGGUAGCUAAUACCGCAUACCAUCAGAUGUGCCCAGAGGGGAUUAGCUAGUAGGUGGGGUAACGGCUCACGAAGGCGACGAUCCCUAGCUGGGCUGAGAGGAUGACCAGCGACACUGGAACUGAGACACGGUCCAGACUCUGACGGGAGGCAGAAGUGGGGAAUAUUGCACAAGGGGCGCAAGCCUGAUUCAGCCAUGCCGCGUGUGUGAAGAAGGCCUUCGGGUUGUAAAGCACUUUCAGUGGGGAGGCGUUACCCACAGAAGAAGCACCGGCUAACUCCGUGCCAGCGGCCGCGGUAAUAC